UGGCUAAUACCACCUUGUAUCUUCCAAAUCUAGAUUCUGAGCAGUUAUUCUUAGCACAGUAUCCUCUGGAUCCACAUUCACCAGGAUCUCUUCACAAUGACAGUGGAAAAUGGACAGUCAGAUGAGAAUAACAGUUUCCCUCUGCUAGUGAAUCCCUCUCUUUAUGCCUGGACUUCGGUAAGUACUGAGCUUUUUGUAUCAUUAUAGCAUUAGUUUUUUUUCUAGAUUUCAUA
rnacentral:lncRNA from 1 species